CCUGGGACUGGCGUCCCAGGCUGUUGCAUGUCAUGGCUUCGCCAUU
rnacentral:sRNA from 1 species